UUUCUAAAUUAUUUUAAUAACAAAAAUAAAACCCAAAAACUAAAAUGAUUAAAAAUAAUAUUGACAUAAACAAAUGAAAAUGCCUACGAAAAAUGAUUCGAUAAAAAAUGUCAAUUAAAUAACAUGAGCGUGAGCCAAUCUGUCCAAUUACUGACUACUUAAGCCACACAAAUCAAUCAGUGAGCUAAUUUUCAUUUUACGAAAAUAAAUUAAAAUCAACUUUUUAAUACAAAAGAUUGAAAUGAAAAGAAUUAUAAUGAAGUUGAAUGGGAAAGCAUAGCACAGUAUAGCAGAGCAUAGCACACCGUCAUUAUGGAUUUAGGAACGAGGCUGUUUGUUAUUCCAAAUCACUGAUUGCUGUCAAAGAGGGGGAGAUGGCGGCUUAGCCAAUCAUCGCACUUUCUUAUAGCGCAAUCCUAAAGAGACUUCGAAAACUGGCGCAAAAUGCUAAUUGAUUCCGUCUAUCUAUUCAAAUUUGAAUUCUCCAAUCCACGCAACGUCAAUAAACAACAAAACUUCAAAUCGUUGGUGGUGCGGCUAACUACUGCAGCGGCGACUUGCUGUCGCAAUUCAUUUCAUUAAUAUUAUUCGAAGAUUCGGCCUAAAACAAUACAAGCAAGAAGGCACUUACCACACCCCUCACCUCUACGAGUAGCUGUGAGUUUCGUGGAAUGCAAACAAUUUUUUUCUAUAGCUAUCUUAUGGGAUAUUGCGUGCGUUUGAAUAUUUAUAUACACCCACAUCUCAAAAUAACGAAAAUAUUAAUUUAAAAACUGUGAAAAUAUCCAUGUUGGACAAUAUUGAAAUCAAAACUGAUGCGCGGCUUCUAAAUGUUCUAAGGGUCGCUGGCGUAUGAUUCGUUUUCAAAUAACCGUAAAAAAGAAGAUCAAAAGAAAGACAAAAAGAAUUCAUUACGAAAACCUUAAAAGCCAAAAAUCAUAUGAGAAAUCUGGCCAACCAGCCAAAUCAACGAUUAAGAAGAAUAUCCCUCACACCAAGAUAACACUACCGACAACAACUCAACAAAUUGAAGCGAAGAAUUUGCCGAAAAACGCUCGGAAUUUGCGACUAGACAUGAGACAAUAAUUUUCCAUCAUGGCAACGCCCAGCCUCACAUUGCAAGACUAGUUAAAAACUAUUUAGAAAACAGCGGCUGGGAAGUUUUCUCUCACCCGCCCUAUAGCCCAGACCUUGCCCCUUAUAACUACUACAAUAUUUGUUACGAUCAAUGCAGAACGCCCUCACUGGAAUACGGUUCACAUCAGGACACGGUAUCAAAAACUGACUUGAUUCAGUCUUAUAAAGGAGGAAAUUUCUCUGUCGAAACCAAAAGUCGGCCCUAUCAUUGACACAUAUAACAUCAUUACCAUGCUUUAUGGGUUCUCAGGCUAUGAAAGCUACUACCUCUUCGUCUGUUAAUAAUACUGUUCCGAACUAAUCUUGUAUUAUUAAGCAUACGAAUGUGUUAUAAGAUAAAAUAUGUAUAUAAUAUUUAAAUAAGUGGAAAAAAUCAUUAAUAUAGCGAAUGUAGCC